GCGCGGUCUGCCUCCCGCGGCGGGCCGGGUCUCCAGGGAGGACCUGAGUUUUCUUCACCCAUUGUCAGGGAGGCGCCAUCGCCCUGGCUUUGGGGCUGGGGCCUCCGGGGAGGUUCCGGUAGGGGCGUUGGAGAGGCCGCUCUUUUUGCAAGGCCCGAGACGGCGGGCCUUGCGCAGGCCGCCCUAUUCCGCGCCCUCAGGGCGUCAGUAUCAGCCUGAGGCUGGAUACCCCCGCUGGGCCCAGAUGCCCCCGCUGGGCCCGGAGCAUCCUCCGGCGCUGCCCUCCCAGAGCCACGCAGAGGCUGAGGUGGCGCGGGGGCGGCCCUGGCUCCGCGAGAAGCGGCGGCAGCGAGGGCUGGAGGACCCGGGCUGCGGGGCUCCGGGGCGUCUGGCCUGGGUGGGACUGAGCCCAUCCAGGGACUGGGACUCCGGGGUUCUGGUGUAGGUGGAUCCGGGGCAGGCUCAGGACCAAGUCCCUCUCCUUCCACCAAGGAGCGCCCAGAGGCCGGCGGGAGCUCCAGGUUCACCUCCUCCUCCUCCAGGAAAUCCCACUUCCAACUGGAUGUCUGGAUGAACUACUGAAAGCUGCUGAGUGUCCUGCAGCAGGCCAUUUCCAAUCCAGCGGAAGACCUUCUAGAAGAGAUGAUGGUGGGAGAGUGCUGACAUACUAUGUGAAGCUACUAUUUGGAGUUGGACACGAGUGCAUGUGUCCUUGUGCCACAACGGGAAUCUUGACUACAACACAAAUGAAUCCACUCAAAUGUUGGCAAGUGGAGCAGAGUCCCAGAACAGGUACAGAAACACCCCCAGUUCAAGGAUCUUCACACCUGGAUUUAGGCCUACUCCUGCAACUACCCCAGGCACCAAUUUGAUCUUCUACUACUUUGCAGACAUCUCUUCUGCAAACACCAGACAAAUUGAGACAAUGACCUUCCACAGGACCCAAAUCACCUCUUACUGCAGGAAAGAAGAUCCAGUGAGAAAAUUAGUCCACAAAUGGAAUGUAAAUCCAUAAACACUCUUAAGUAACAGAAUAAAUUUAGUAUGA
rnacentral:lncRNA from 1 species